GCUGGCGACCAUAGCAAGAGUGAACCACCUGAUCCCUUCCCGAACUCAGAAGUGAAACCUCUUA
rnacentral:rRNA from 3 species